rnacentral:tRNA from 1 species
GGGGAGAUACCAGAGUGGCCAAAUGGGGCGGACUGUAAAUCCGCUGUCUUCGACUUCGAAAGUUCGAAUCUUUCUCUCCCCA